UGACUGGAGACCAUACACAAUGUCACCGUACUCUGACACAACAUCAUGCAAUUCUUCACCAGAAAGACAUGGGGGUGCAACAUCCUUUUCAACUUUGCCAACAAAGAAAUCCUUUCUAUUCUUUCUGUACCUGUGAUUCGGUGGAGUCGGUUCUUGUUCGCAAUAACAUCGUUAAUCUUCCGAGCUUCCUUCCUGGGGCUGCUCUUCCCUACAUAGAGCAUUUCUAACUAUAUUCUGGCAUCUUUCGCAAUUGCUUUUGCAGUCGCAGUGAAUUUACGGAUCCACUCGAUAUCCUCCCCACCAUACAAGCAUAUGAACUUCCCUUGCUCUAUCUGCAUUAGGAAUUAAUUAGUUGAAAAAUUCAUGAGUAAUGUGUGUAUGAGAUUCCUAUGCAUCUUUCAGCUUGUUGUUUAGUUUAUAAACCCGUUUCAAGUUCGGAAAUUUGAAUUCCUCUGCUGUCAAAUGUAUGCAUUAGAUGAUGCCGAUAGAGAAUUGAGAUGAAGAGUGUAUUUUAGUUUCAUAGUAUAUGUAUGUAAAGAGAGCAAAGCUAUACCCAAGACAAGGAUCAUUGGAUCAAUGCUAUCUGCCAGUAACUCGAUUUUCCAGGUUUCUUCUUUCCAGAGUCCUUCCUCCCCUGAGCUAGUGAAAGGGAAAGCCAGGUUCACCAAAUCCACAUGAUGGUCUUUUUUAUUUUAAGCUAAAAAAAAUAGAUCAUUGAGAAUAAAAGUUGGACUUUUUAUUUUAAGUUAGGAAGGAAAAUCACCAAUAACAAAUGGUUGGAUUGAGCAGACGGACCUAGGGAGCAGAGACCAUGAGCGGGUUGGCCGACUGAAUUUUCCAAUUUAAACCAAAAAACAGGAAGUGGGCCCAGAGGAUACCUGCUUUGCUUUGCUUAGGCCUUAGGACUUGCCUUGUGUUAACGGUCGGCAAACAACACCAUUCACGUUCUUAACUGUCGUUGUCGUUGAUAACCUGCCAUUGACAAUCAUAUUUCAUCCCA